ACGAUCAUUUUUGGAUUCUCUCUCUGGAGAGGAUUUCUCUCUCUCUGAACGGUUUUCUCUCGCUCUCUCACGCUCUCUCUCGGGGGGAGAAAAAUGGACUGUCUUCAUCUCUUGCUCGGCCCACAGCUCACGAGGAGAAAGGGGAAUCGAGGAGAAGAAGAUCGAUCGAUCGCCAUCACUCCUUCAACCGCCUCACGCGCGAUUUGAGUCGAUCGGGACUAUCGUCGGCGGCGAUGAUGACGACGACAAUGACAGCGGUAGUGACAGGAGGCUCGAUCAGUUAGGGUUUUCUUCCAUUGGUGUGAUCGAAGAAUCUCUGAUGAUCUCUUAAUCAAUUGCUUUCGGGAUUUGGAGAUCGGGAGCUCUGUUUUCGCUAAGAUUCUCUCCAGUUUUCGCUGGAUCUCUCGGUUCCGACGCUCUUGCCUUUUCGAGCCUUAGAAGGAGAGCAACUGUCAAACUGAGGAGCUCAAGGCGUGGGGCUCAGAUCCGAAGCUGACGGUAGUGAUGAUGAUCAACAGCGGAUUCGACAGCGGCGGCAAAAGCUUCCGAUCGUCUUCUCAUUUUGUUUUUCCAAUCUCUCUGUUCUGGUUUGGGCUCUCACUCGCUCGCUUGAUCAAUCGAAGAUUGGCGGUCAAGGAUCGCACGUGAGCUCUCUCUCUCGAUCCGUUAAGGUUUCGAUUUUUGUUCUCUCUUUGAAUCUGUUUGGGUUGUGGAUUCUGACUUCUCCCUCUCAAUCGCUCUCUCUGGUGAUCUUGCUCUCGGCUGAAUCUGACACUCUCGUCGCGGAUCGCGUCCUUCCGGAGCUCGAGGUGCAGGGAUUCGGACCUGCGCCGAGUUUGGAGGUCUCAACUCGGCUCCGAGGGCAGAACCAAAGAGUAGAUCUGCUGGUGUUCACGAAGACUAGAUCACUCGAUCAAGCAUCAAAGUUUCACAAACAAGUAAUGGCUCAUGACAAGGAUUAUGUCGCUAUCAUAGUUUGCUACGAUGGGGAAUUUGUGAUUGGGGAGGAUGAGUGGGAGUAUAAGGGUGGAAAUGAGGGCACCAUAUUUGUGGAUAUAAAGAAGGCAUCUUAUAUCGGAUUUCUUAGGGAUAUAAAGAUUUAUUUGCCUUAUAAAUUUUAGAAGCUGCUAUAUUGUAUUACUAGGAAAGACUUAAGUGAUGGUUUGAGAUGCUUAGAAGAUGAUAAUGGUCUUAGGGAUGUUCUAUACCAUUAUCUUCAUGGUGAAGAGGUAAAAAUAUUUGUUGAGUACAAUAGUGAAAGUGAGGAUGAAGAUGAUGAUGGAGAGAGCACCGGAGUAGGACAAGAAGGAGAUGGUAUUCAAGGUAGUACUGACAUUAGGGUCAAAGGAGGGCAGGAUAGAUAUGAUGGACAUGAGAGAAGCAUAGAUGUAGUUCACCGAAGUGAUGAUGACAUAGGUGAUGUCACAAUCUCUGGAUUAGAUUGGGAAGUAGCUGAAUCAACUGAUGAUGAUGAUGAUGGAGGGUUGCCUACUGAAAAUUUUAUAAGUGAUGACGACGACGAGGAGCUGAAUCAACUGAUGGAGGGUUGCACUUCUUUGAAUUGAUUAAGCUGAUGCCUCAGAUGAAUAUUACUCAAUUCAGGAUGUUGGUGAAGGAGCAAGUAGGCAUCAAUAUAUUCAAGAAUCAAUGUAAAAGACCGAAGCAAAAGGUGAUGAAGAUACUCAUUGGUUAGUACAACGGUGAAUACGGAUAGUUGUGGGACUAUGCUUGGGAGUGUAGACUACAAAAUCUUGGAAGUAGAGUGUAUGUAGAGGUUGUGGAAAUACCACUUCCUGAUAUUGGGACGAAGUUCGAUAAAUUAUAUGUUUACUUCGAUGCAUGCAGACGAGGAUUUUUAUCUAGUUGUAAACGGAUUAUAGGAUUGGACUGGUGUUUUUUGAAUGGCUUGUGCAAGGGAGAAUUGCUAGCCGCAAUUGGAAGAGAUGCAAACAACCAAAUGUUUCCCCUGGCUUGGGUUGUUGUGAAGGUAGAGAACAAGGACAAUUGGUCAUGGUUCCUCAAAAAUUUGAUGAAUGAUUUGGAGAUAACAAAUGGGGCAGGGUGGGCAUUCAUGAGCGACCAACAAAAGGGACCGGUUCUAGCAAUAGCCGAGUUGUUGCCUUAUGUUGAACAUCGAAUAUGUGCGCGGCACAUAUACGCAAAUUGGAUAAAGACCUAUAAAGGGGACAAGUUGCAAGCGCAAUUUUGGCAGCUAGCAAAGAGCAUGAAUAUGGCUGACUUUAGGAUGGCUAAAGAAGAGAUGCUUCAAUUGACAAAUGAUGGUUAUGAUGCACUGUCCCAAACAGACCCAAAGCAUUGAUGUAGGGCGUUCUUUAGCGAGGAAUUCAAGUGCGAUAACAUUGAUAACAACAUCUGCGAAUCAUUCAAUGGGAGGAUA